rnacentral:rRNA from 1 species
UACGAAGGGGGCUGGCGUUGCUCGGAAUCACUGGGCGUAAAGCGCACGUAGGCGGCUUUUUAAGUCAGGGGUGAAAUCCUGGAGCUCAACUCCAGAACUGCCUUUGAUACUGGGAAGCUUGAGUCCGGGAGAGGUGAGUGGAACUGCGAGUGUAGAGGUGAAAUUCGUAGAUAUUCGCAAGAACACCAGUGGCGAAGGCGGCUCACUGGCCCGGUACUGACGCUGAGGUGCGAAAGCGUGGGGAGCAAACAGG